rnacentral:rRNA from 1 species
GACGAACGCUGGCGGCGUGCUUAACACAUGCAAGUCGAACGGAAAGGCCCUGCUUUUGUGGGGUGCUCGAGUGGCGAACGGGUAAGUAACACGUGAGUAACCUGCCCUUGACUUUGGGAUAACUUCAGGAAACUGGGGCUAAUACCGGAUAGGAGCUCCUGCUGCAUGGUGGGGGUUGGAAAGUUUCGGCGGUUGGGGAUGGACUCGCGGCUUAUCAGCUUGUUGGUGGGGUAGUGGCUUACCAAGGCUUUGGCGGGUAGCCGGCCUGAGAGGGUGACCGGCCACAUUGGGACUGGGAUACGGCCCAGACUCCUACGGGAGGCAGCAGUGGGGAAUAUUGCACAAUGGGCGGAAGCCUGAUGCAGCAACGCCGCGUGCGGGAUGACGGCCUUCGGGUUGUAAACCGCUUUCGCCUGUGACGAAGCGUGAGUGACGGUAAUGGGUAAAGAAGCACCGGCUAACUACGUGCCAGCCGCCGCAGUAAUAC